UGGCGACCAGUUCUAAGGAGUGCAGCAGGCUCGAAACUUACCGAAUUAUAGAUUAGAGGUAGUGAUGAAACGUUUAUAUAAAGAUACUGGUAAAGCAAGUAUUAGCAACUGGAGGGUAAGUCUGGUGCCAGCAGCCGCGGUAAUACCAGCUCCAGGAGCUUCUUCGAUAUGUUGCGGUUAAAACGUCCGUAGUCGCGGCCUGGGACUGACCUGUAAUCUAUUUGGUCAACAAAUAGAUAGGGGCAGUAGCAGGCUGGAAAAGAGCAAUUUGGUGUCAGCUAAUGGUAUGGGGAGGGGUGAAGUCUGAGGAUCCAUGCAGGAGGAGCAAAGGCGAAAGCACUGACAAAGAUUGAUUCUGUUGAUCAAGGACAGAGGCUAGAGGAUCGAAUACGAUUAGAUACCGUAGUAGUUCUAGCAGUGACCGAUGAUGAUUUUGCUUAUGGCAAUAGAGAAAUCAAAAUAGAUCUCCGGGGGGAGUACAUGCGCAAGCAAGAAACUUAAAGAAAUUGACGGAAGACUACCACAAGGUGUGGAUUGUUCGGCUUAAUUUGACUCAACGCGGGAAAACUUACCAAGCUUAUUUGUUCAACGAGUAUAUAUACGAGAGCAAAAUGGUGGUGCAUGGCCGUUCCUAACAGAUGGAGUGAUUUUGUGAUUAACUUCCGUAAUCUGUGUAAUCUCAGAAUAGCUUGUUCGAAAGAACAAUUCGAGGCAAGAACAGGUCAGUGAUGUCCUUUGAUAGCUUGGGCCGCACGCGCAAUACAAUGUUUUAUGUAGUAAGAUAUAGAUAAAAAAUAGAACAUGAGGGAUUGAGAGCUGAAAAGCACUCAUGAACACGGAAUAGCUAGUAAUCGUCAGUUCAAUAUACGGCGAUGAAUAUGUCCCUGUUC
rnacentral:rRNA from 1 species